rnacentral:rRNA from 1 species
UACGGGGGGGGCAAGCGUUGUUCGGAAUUACUGGGCGUAAAGGGCUCGUAGGCGGCCAACUAAGUCAGACGUGAAAUCCCUCGGCUUAACCGGGGAACUGCGUCUGAUACUGGAUGGCUUGAGUGCGGCAGAGGAGACUGGAAUUCCUGGUGUAGCAGUGAAAUGCGUAGAUAUCAGGAGGAAUACCGAUGGCGAAGGCAGGUCUCUGGGCUGACACUGACGCUCAUGCACGAAAGCGUGGGGAGCAAACAGG